CCCUUAGAUGUUCUGGGCUGCACGCGUGCUACACUGAUAUUGCCAAUAUGUCAUUCUUAUCCGAAAUGGAUUGGGUAAUCAAGUAAUGAAAUUUCAUGCUUGGAAUCGGUAAUUGCAAUUUUAUCGUGAACGAGGAAUUCCUAGUAAGCACUAGUCAUCAGCUAAUGUUGAUUAUGUCCCUGCCCUUUGUACACACCGCCCGUCGCUACUACUGAUUGGGUGUUCAAGUGAGAUGCUUAGACCCUUGUUGCAUGUUUCAUUAUUGUGCUCCGAAAGGAAAAAGUUUCAAGCUUGAGUGUCUAGAGGAAGUAAAAGUCGUAACA
rnacentral:rRNA from 1 species